rnacentral:tmRNA from 1 species
GGGGGCGUACUGGUUUCGAUCCGGGCAACGCGUCGGCGGUGGCAUGCCGAGGAUGGUACGUUGGCCUCGUUAAUCAUCGGACCGAAACAAUAAAUGCUAACGAAGAAUUAGCUCUCGCGGCAUAGUUCCGCGACGUCUCACCUCUGACACCUGCUGCGGGGUUGAGGCGUCAAUAGCAGGUGUAGGAAUGGGCUGGAGCGGGCGCGGCCUUGACUGAAAACAGAUUGCUGCCGGCUGCCGUAUGUGAUUGCUGGCCAGAAGGUGAACACAUACCUAAGAAUCUCUUCUGGACAAGCAUGUAGUCACUUCCGGUAAAUUAUCCGGAGACGCGGGUUCAACUCCCGCCGCCUCCACCA